GCCGCCAGAAGAAUAAAUCAUUUCCUGAACUUAAAUACAUUUAUUUGUAAAUAAAGACAAUUUGCCUAAAACAUUCUCUCAUAUAUUUAAACAAUUGUAAAAUAAUUAAUUCAACGACUUUCUUUUACUUUUUACUUUUCUUCUUCAGUUUUUUUUUUUACCCAUUGCUCUUCAAUUACUGAUCACAAAUUUUUCGGAUGCUUUUUAUCCUAUUUUCGUAUCGAACUUACAUGUUAGCAGUUGAACGGAAUUAAGUACAUUUUUCAGGAAUUUACAACUUAAAUUUUCAACAACAAAAUUCCACACUUUUUUACUGGGAUUUUUUUUUCUGUUUUGAAGGCGCCACCAGUGACCCCGUAGCACACAUAACCAACACCUCACAUGGCGUAUUCACGAUGUUGAGGUAUUGACAUACAAUCACAUUUAUCAAUAUACAGCAAGUAGGUAAUUUGGUGUUGAAUGCCAGUAGGUCAGAAUUUGUUAAUUGAAUUUUACCUGUAAAAGGGUCACUAGCUGUCAAAUUCAUGUUCAUCGAUUUUAAUCAAAUUCACAUAACAUGUGGUGUUGAAUUGUUUAUUAAAAUUCCACGCACAAUCUUGGCUGAUAUGCAUAAAACCAUUAUUUCAUGAACCUGCAUGAAAUAUUGACUUAUCACAGAACUAAAAAAAUAAACCACCGAAAGUCCACAUAAGAGAUCAUAAGAGGGUAUAGAGAAUAACGGGCAAAGAAAAAAAGGAAUAAAGAAUAGUGAAAGAAAGAGAAUAAUGGUAAAAAGUGUAAGUCAUUAAAAAUAUAGCUUAAAAAAAAGAAGCCUCUUGCAUCAAUUUGAGGAAUUUACCCAAGAUUAAUUUUACGGCGGCUUAUUUUAUUUUGGAUUAAAAAUAAACACAAUUGACAAGUUUCCUUCCCCUGCAUUUUCGAUCGCACAUGUAAAUAGCACGUUGGUCUCAAAUAAGACACUGAUACAUUACAACACUUGCCGUCAGUAUUUGAAAAUAUUAAUUAAGAAGGUAUAGAAAAUUAAUGCACGCACACUAUUACACUAUUAUCCACCACAGGCCUAAAUCGUUAGUCCGCAAACAACGAGGGUGAUAAAAAAACCCAGCACUUUGAACACAGCCACCGGCAUGCUAUGAAUUUGAAAGCUUCCCAAAUUAGUAACUAUCAAGUUCUAUUAACCCAUAGAAAACUUUUGUCCUUCUUUAUCAAAAAUGAAAUUUAAAUCAAUUUAUUCAUAUAUUUGACCGACUAGAAUUAAUUGGGGAAUUUAAACCAAUUCCUAUUGUAAGUGAUAAAACUAUCAGAUCAUAUCAGGGUGAUUGAAAUGAGGAAAAAGGGGGGGUGGUGGGUAUCUUGGGGGGGGGGGGGGGGGAAGAAAGAAGGGAGGGUGAGUCCACCCCCUUCAAUUUGAGAAUAUGCUAUUAUCUUGUAAACGGUUUAGAUCCCCACCCCUAAACCAUAUAUAUUCUUGAAUGGGACAAUAAAAUGAAUCAAUUAAAAUUAAAGGGAAGUCCCUGGGGGGUCACCCCACCCCAUUCAAUUUGAGAAUGUGCUAUUAUCUUGUAAACGGUUUAGAUCCCCACCCCUAAACAAUAUAUAUUCUUGAAUGGGACUAUAAAACAAAUCAAUUAAAAUUAAAGGUUAGUCCCUGGGGGUCACCCAUCCCCGUUCAAUUUGAGAAUGUGCUAUUAUCUUGUAAACGGUCCAGAUCCCCACCCCUAAACCAUAUAUAUUCUUGAAUGGGACGAUAAAACAAAUCAAUUAAAAUUAAAAGGAAGUCCCUGGGGGUCACCCCGUCCCGUUCAAUUUGAGAAUGUGCUAUUAUCUUGUAAACGGUCAAGAUCCCCACCCCUAAACCAUAUAUAUUCUUGUAUGGAACAAUAAAACACAUCAAAUGAAAUAUAGGGAGAGUCCAUGGGGGGUCACCCCCACCCUCACAUGUUUGAAAAACUUUUAAAUGGUUGAGAUCCCCAGUGGUUAAGUGAAAAAAAUUCCGGAUCACAGGGGGAGGAUUCUAGGGGUUGGAAGUUCAACUUGGAACCCCUCCUUUUUUUUGGACACUCAAUGCAUUUGAAUGGGAACAUAUAGUUGGAACCACCCCUCCUAAAUCUUGGGUUGGGAACAGGGAACCCCCUUUAUAAAAUGGCUGGAUCCAUCCAGGCAUACCAUCUAGCUAGCUAUUAAGGCUUUAAAAAUAUGAAAUAAAUCAAACAAGGAAAUUAACGGUGUAGGCAACUGUUUUGAAUUUUAAAAAAAAAGCCUUUAUUAACAAUGUUAAAUUUUGUGUGCAUUUAUUUUUGCUUAUUUUCAAUAACAAAUAAAUAAUGGACAGAAUUGCGUGAUUGAUUAUUGUAAUUUACGAAAAAUCUGCAUACAUGUUAUAAAAUGGGAAGUAGAAACUGGGAAUUUGUCAAAGAGACAACAACACAAGUGACAACCAAAGAGCAGACAACGACCGAAGGUCACCUAUGGGUCUUCAAUGCAGUGAGGAAAUUUUGGCACUGGUCUUCAGCUCAUAAAU
rnacentral:lncRNA from 1 species